CUGGGUUGGAUGAGUGGCGAACGGGUGAGUAACACGUGAGUAACCUGCCCUCUUCUUUGGGAUAACGGUCGGAAACGGCUGCUAAUACCGGGUAUUCACUGUCCUUCGCAUGGGGGGUGGUGGAAAGGUUUUUUCUGGUGGGGGAUGGGCUCGCGGCCUAUCAGCUUGUUGGUGGGGUGAUGGCUUACCAAGGCUUUGACGGGUAACCGGCCUGAGAGGGUGGCCGGUCACAUUGGGACUGAGAUACGGCCCAG
rnacentral:rRNA from 1 species